UCCUCACCUACUCCCUCCUGGGGGAAGCCCAGCAGCUGGUGGGGGACAAGAAGGAGGAGGUCACGGCCAAUGUGAUGCGCCAGCUCGGCAUCAUCCAGCUCUCGCGCCAGGUGCCUGAGGCACUGCAGCGGCUGUGCCUCUGAGGCCACCAGCAACUCCCACUCCCUGCUGCAGGGUCCUUUCCUCUGCCCCCCAAAUUCCUUCAUCUAGGGCAGGAGCUCUUUC